rnacentral:pre_miRNA from 1 species
GAGAUACUCCCUCCGCCCGGAAAUAUUUGUCGAAGAAAUGAAUAAAAAUGGAUGUAUCUAGAACUAAAAUACAUCUAGAUACAUCCAUUUCUACGACAAGUAUUUCCGGACGGAGAGAGUACUAU